ACCGGGCACGGUGGCAUGUGCCUGUAGUCCCAGCUACUCGGGACGCUGAGGUGGGAGGAUCGCUUGAGCCCAGCAGUUCUGGGCUGUAGUGCGCUAUGCCGAUCGGAUGUCCGCGCUAAGUUUGGCAUCAAUACGGUGACCUUCCGGGAGCAGGGGACCACCAGGUUGCCUAAGGAGGGGUGAACUGGCCCAGGUCGGACACAGAACAGGUCAAAACUCCCGUGCUGUUCAGUACUGGGAUUGCGCCUGUGAAUAGCACUGCACUCCAGCCUGGGCAACAUAGCGAGACCCUGUCUCU
rnacentral:SRP_RNA from 1 species